rnacentral:rRNA from 1 species
UACGAAGGGGGCUAGCGUUGCUCGGAAUUACUGGGCGUAAAGGGCGCGUAGGCGGAUAUUUAAGUUGGGGGUGAAAUCCCGGGGCUCAACCUCGGAAUUGCCUUCAGAACUGGAUAUCUUGAGUUCGGGAGAGGUGAGUGGAACUCCGAGUGUAGAGGUGAAAUUCGUAGAUAUUCGGAAGAACACCAGUGGCGAAGGCGACUCACUGGCCCGAUACUGACGCUGAGGCGCGAAAGCGUGGGGAGCAAACAGG